UACGUAGGGACCAAGCGUUGUUCGGAUUUACUGGGCGUAAAGGGCGCGUAGGCGGCGUGACAAGUCACUUGUGAAAUCUCCGGGCUUAACUCGGAACGGCCAAGUGAAACUGUCAUGCUAGAGUGCAGAAGGGGCAAUCGGAAUUCUUGGUGUAGCGGUGAAAUGCGUAGAUAUCAAGAGGAACACCUGAGGUGAAGACGGGUUGCUGGCUGACACUGACGCUGAGGCGCGAAAGCCAGGGGAGCAAACGGG
rnacentral:rRNA from 1 species